UACGGAGGUUGCUAGCGUUGUUCGGAAUCACUGGGCGUAAAGGGGGCGCAGGCGGUCGGGUCAGUCUGAAGUGAAAGCCCGGGGCUCAACCCCGGAAUUGCUUUGGAUACUGCCUGACUAGAGUGCGUGAGAGGAGAGCGGAAUUCCAGGUGUAGCGGUGAAAUGCGUAGAUAUCUGGAGGAACAUCGGUGGCGAAAGCGGCUCUCUGGCACGCAACUGACGCUGAGGCCCGAAAGCGUGGGUAGCGAACGGG
rnacentral:misc_RNA from 1 species